AUGACGGUGGUGUCAUACAUAAAUCACCAAGGCGGGCUGCCAUUGCCACGACUCUUCAGGCUAACGUCGCGACUGGAAAUAGACCUCUUUGCCUCAAAAGAUAACUCUCAUUGCCCAACAUAUUUUUCCAAGAUCGAGGACGUGUUGGCCCAGGACUGGCCCAACCGGCUUCUUUAUGCUUUUCCUCCGAUUCCUCUGAUUCCCCAAGUAAUCAGGUGGGUCAGGGAUCAGAGAUGCAGAGUUCUUCUUGUGGCCCCACUCUGGGAAAACCAACAUGGGAUAGCCGACCUGUCACAGAUGCUGACGGCGGCCCCUGUGGCCCAUACCUCUGAGACGGAACCUCCUUUCUCAGGUGGGUGGGACAAUUUGGCACCCACAACCAGAGCUGUGGGCUUUGCACCUUUGGUCACUCAACGGGAACCUACGGGACUCCCUGAGUGCAUACUAGACACUAUUUCACAGGCUAGAGCUCCAUCUACAAGAAACCUCUAUGCCUCUAAGUGGUCAGUGUUCUCCACAUGGUGCUCAGACCAUGGCGAAGACCCUGCCUCCUGUGACGUAUCAGUGAUACUGUCAUUUUUACAAGAGCUGUUGGAUAAGGGGCGGUCCCCCUCCACGCUCAAGGUCUAUGUAUCGACUAUAGCGGCAUCACACACCCCUAUAGCAGGCCAGUCGGUGGGCAAAAACGACCUUGUCAUUCGAUUUAUGAGAGGUGCCAGAAGGCUUAAUCUGCCUCGCUCUCUCACUAUCCCUUCAUGGGACCUGCCCAAGGUGCUAAGAGCAUUGAAGGGUGCCCCCUUUGAGCCGCUACAAUCCAUCAGCCUGAAGGCCCUGUCACUGAAGACCACUCUGCUACUAGCACUGGCAUCUGUAAAGCGUGUGGGAGAUUUGCAAGCACUCUCGAUAGGCCCUAGUUGCCUGGAAUUCGGGCCUAACGAUUUGAAGGUCAUCCUGAAACCAAGGCAUGGCUACAUACCAAAGAUGCUCUUCACACCCUUUAGAACACAAGUGGUUACUCUCUCUACGUUACAAAACACAGAGGAAGAUCGAGAGCUGAAUCUACUAUGUCCUGGAAGGGCACUGAAAGCCUACACGGAGCGCUCUGUGCCGAUAAGGCAAUCAGAACAGCUCUUUGUAUGCGUUGGAGGCCGCACCAAAGGGUUGCCGGUCUCAAAGCAAAGGCUUUCUAAGUGGAUUGUGGACGCGAUUUAG
ensembl:lncRNA